rnacentral:rRNA from 1 species
GACGAACGCUGGCGGCGUGCCUAAUACAUGCAAGUAGAACGCUGAAGAGAGGAGCUUGCUCUUCUUGGAUGAGUUGCGAACGGGUGAGUAACGCGUAGGUAACCUGCCUGGUAGCGGGGGAUAACUAUUGGAAGCGAUAGCUAAUACCGCAUAAAAUUGAUUAUUGCAUGAUAAUUAAUUGAAAGAUGCAAUUGCAUCACUACCAGAUGGACCUGCGUUGUAUUAGCUAGUUGGUGAGGUAACGGCUCACCAAGGCGACGAUACAUAGCCGACCUGAGAGGGUGAUCGGCCACACUGGGACUGAGACACGGCCCAGACUCCUACGGGAGGCAGCAGUAGGGAAUCUUCGGCAAUGGGGGGAACCCUGACCGAGCAACGCCGCGUGAGUGAAGAAGGUUUUCGGAUCGUAAAGCUCUGUUGUAAGAGAAGAACGGGUGUGAGAGUGGAAAGUUCACACUGUGACGUAUCUACCAGAAAGGACGCA